CUCUUUGCCCCGCCUGUUCCCUUUGCCAAAAACACUGAACAGGAAGACAUAUUUUCUCACAGAUGCUGCCAGGACAGACAAACUGAAGAAGGAAGGGCAUUGCCUGAGCAUGAGCAUAUUCUAAACAGACAGGGCCCGUGUCCACUGUUCCAAGCCUCAAACCCCCAUCUGUAAGAAUCUCAGUCUUCCAGGAAGAGGGCAGACAUACUGAAGACUGAGGCUUCUACAACUGAAGUCAGCAUGGCCAAGACUACAGACUAAAGUUCUUGAAGUUCCUGAAUCCCGUUCAUAAUGAACUGGCACAUGAUAAUCUCUGUGCUUAUUGUAGUGGUGCUUAAAGCUAUUGGAGUGACCUUAUUUCUGCUGUAUUUCCCACAGACUUUUUGGAAAAGUAAUGAUGGCAUCAUUCCUACUGGGAGCUAUGGAACAGAUAAUGUGCAUAAUGUCUCACAAACUUUUGAGAGCAGUACUGAGAGCUUCAUUCCCACAAGGAGGUAUGGAACAGCCUGCCCCCCACACUGGCAGAACUUCAAUCAAACAAGAUGUUUCUUCUUGUCCACCACUGAAUCAACCUGGAGCAAUAGCAGGGAUGACUGUGCAAAAAAAAGAUCCACUUUGGCAAUUGUCAACACGCCAGAGAAACUGAAGUAUCUCCAAGACAAAGCUGAUGCUGAGAAGUAUUUUAUUGGCUUAAUGUACCAGCCUGCAGAGAAUAAAUGGCACUGGAUCAACAACUCUGUGUUCAUUGGCAAUGUCACCAACAAGAAUGAAAACUUCAACUGUGUCACCAUAGGCCUGUCAACAACAUUUGAUGCUGCAUCAUGUGACGUCCCCUACCACUGGAUCUGUGAGAUGAUUCCCAGAUGAUCAUAGCCCUCUUUGACAAGAACAAAUAUACUUACAGAGAUAGCAAAAGACCAUACAAUUGAGACUGGUGCAGGAGAUAUAGAACAUCAAAUCACUGUGUCAGCCUUCCAUGGGUUACUGGCAGAGCUCCCUAAGGAAUCCUCAGAGCUAAGGCACCAUACUCUUUCACACGUAGACUUAUAUACACAUCACCAGAAAAACUUCCCAGUUCUGAGCCAGUGUUACCCUAGACAGCAUUUCCUAUGAGAGUUGAAACUGACUCUGUGGAUCCUCAUGGAUCAUCUAUUCUGUGAUUCUUUUAUGUAUCCAUCCACCAUUUGAGGUCUUUAUCUGUUUGGGAAAAUGAGCUUCUGCACUCUGCUUUGGGGGACUAGAAGCUAACCAUCUCCAGGAGACAUGCCCACUUUUAUGGACACAUCACAGUUAUACAGAAAUGGGAUCUGUUUCUAUAGAACUGAGCAUUCCUGACUGAUCCACAGGGUCUAUUCUGUUGGUUUGUUUUAUCCACAGAGCACAUGAUCAUAUCAUCAGAGAGAAACUGCAGACUGAGUAGUUGUGAGCAUUAUUUAAAGGACAGAAUCAGUAGGAGAUGGAUGAACUCAGCUUCCUUAUCUCUGUUCCCAAGAGAUCCCUAUUCACAUGUCUUCCCCUGACAGCUGAGAAAACAGAUGCUCUCUGUCUACUUUGGGGCCAAGACUUGGGGGCAUUGGUAGCUGCUAGAACUGAGCUUGGAGCAGAAAGAACAUUGCCGAUAGGAAUGGAGAAUGGUCCAGACAGGAUAGGAAUCUGGCCAGAGAUCCCUCUGAAGAGAACUAGAUCAUCAAGGGGACUAAGCAAGCCAAAUCUCUGUUCUUCAACAAAGCCCUGAUGAGACACUAAGGCUAAAAAUUUUCUUCUCUUGGUUUCAUCAUUUGGGAUUCAUCAGAGCAGCCAUUUACAAAUUUUUAAAAAGAGAUAAUGCACUAGGUGUUAGAACUUGCUUGAAGGAGGUUACCAGAAAUAGUCUGUGUUUGGGAUGGGGUGGAUAUUGGCACUGUAUUAAUAUCCUGGGGAGAUAUAAGUUCCCUGAUUAUAUUAACAAGUGUGUUCCAUGGUUGAGGGAGGAGAGACUGAGUCUAUGGUGGAGAAAAGAACCAACUAAAUUAAAGCUAGAGAUAAGCUCCACAACUCAGACAACAGAAAAGAAAACAUAAUCCUUCUGUUUUGAAAAAAGAAAACUAUAAUUCCACAUUUCCUAUUUUAUAACAGAAUAACUGUAGACUUUUAAGGUCAGGAAAUGUCAACAUCUAGCAAUUUCCAUAAUUGAAGCCCAAAUUUACCCCAAGAUGAGAAGAUAGCCCAGUUUUUAAAGAAGCCCAGUAAAAUAGGGUAGAGGUAAGGAGAUUCAAGCAAUAUGUGAACUUCGGUUUACUUUCCCUAUCAGAAAUGGGGCUCAGAGCCGUACCACCACCCCAGAGCGCUGAGAAAGUAAGCCUCACGGGUGCCAGCACACACCUUCCCCUCCCCCUCACCCCAGCUGUGCCAAGCCAUUACCUGGAUCCACACCACAGAGUUUCAGGGGUCAUACAGGACAUUGUUCUGAGCUGGAGAAGAUAGAGUAGAAGUGAACAACAGAAAGAGGGCCUCUCUGAGGGCAACUGAUGAAAAUUAAAGCCAACUGGAAAGGUGAAGAAGAUCUCUCCAAUAAAGGCACACUAGGCCACCUGAGUUGGGGGAACAGCUGUGUGGAACAGAGCAGCGUGGCUGCAAGCAGAUCCCAGCCAGGACUCUGCCCCAACCCCAGAGGCUG